rnacentral:rRNA from 1 species
UACGGGGGGGGCGAGCGUUGUUCGGAAUUACUGGGCGUAAAGGGUUUGUAGGUGGUCUGCUAAGUCAGACGUGAAAUCCCUCAGCUUAACUGGGGAACUGCGUCUGAUACUGGCGGACUUGAGGACAGGAGAGGAACGCGGAAUUCCAGGUGUAGCGGUGAAAUGCGUAGAUAUCUGGAGGAACACCGGUGGCGAAGGCGGCGUUCUGGACUGCAACUGACACUGAGAAACGAAAGCCAGGGUAGCAAACGGG